GAGUGAAAUGAUGCUUUACCAUCUUUCGGGACUUACCCAGCAUAUGGGGAUACUUUUAUUUUUUUACUGAUCACUC
rnacentral:snoRNA from 1 species